rnacentral:rRNA from 1 species
AACGAACGCUGGCGGCAGGCUUAACACAUGCAAGUCGAACGGGCACCUUCGGGUGUCAGUGGCAGACGGGUGAGUAACGCGUGGGAACGUACCCUUCGGUUCGGAAUAACCCAGGGAAACUUGGGCUAACACCGGAUACGUCCGCAAGGAGAAAGAUUUAUCGCCGAAGGAUCGGCCCGCGUCGGAUUAGCUAGUUGGUGGGGUAAUGGCCCACCAAGGCGACGAUCCGUAGCUGGUCUGAGAGGAUGAUCAGCCACACUGGGACUGAGACACGGCCCAGACUCCUACGGGAGGCAGCAGUGGGGAAUAUUGGACAAUGGGCGAAAGCCUGAUCCAGCCAUGCCGCGUGAGUGAAGAAGGCCUUAGGGUUGUAAAGCUCUUUCAGCGGGAAGAUAAUGACGGUACCCGCAGAAGAAGUCCCGGCUAACUUCGUGCCA